GGAUUAGAUACCCUGGUAGUCCACGCCGUAAACGAUGAGUGCUAGACGUCGGGGGACGUGUCCUUCGGUGUCGCCGCUAACGCAUUAAGCACUCCGCCUGGGGAGUACGGCCGCAAGGUUAAAACUCAAAUGAAUUGACGGGGGCCCGCACAAGCGGUGGAGCAUGUGGUUUAAUUCGAAGCAACGCGCAGAACCUUACCAGCCCUUGACAUGGGGGUUAUGGUUCCGAGAGAUCGGAUCCUUCAGUUCGGCUGGGCCCCACACAGGUGCUGCAUGGCUGUCGUCAGCUCGUGCUG
rnacentral:rRNA from 1 species